rnacentral:rRNA from 1 species
CAGUAGGGAAUCUUCCACAAUGGACGCAAGUCUGAUGGAGCAACGCCGCGUGAGUGAAGAAGGGUUUCGGCUCGUAAAGCUCUGUUGUUAAAGAAGAACGUGGGUAAGAGUAACUGUUUACCCAGUGACGGUAUUUAACCAGAAAGCCACGGCUAACUACGUGCCA